AGGUGAAGCACCAGUUGAGUAGGCCCAGGUGCUCCCCUGCACCUCUGCUGCAGGACAUGGCAACACUCACCACAGAAAAUAUGGUUGCCUGCUGUGUACCCUGAGGACAUUUCUGCCUUCCACUGGGGCCUGGUCAGUGUUGUCUGCUGAGAAUGGGAACCAGAAGAACAAGUAACUCAUCAUAUGCUGUCAGCUCAAGAUUUGGCACAGAAAAUAGUAACUUCUGAUGUAUUAUAUCACAGGGCCUGUAGGUGGUUCUGCAACAGUAAAACCUUUGGGGUUGCUGAGACCCACAGCUCAAGAAUUUUUUUCACUCACAUCUAGGUAUUAGAAGCACUCCCCCCUAGUUUUACAGAGAUAAUGAGGAAUUACCUUACUGGUAAUCUCUUCAGUAAAUAGCAUGGAUAUGAAGAAAUUUUCUUUUGUGAACGAAUGGAAGAGGAUUUUGUUUGUUUUGGAACCUGAACAGAUGAAGAGGGGUGAGGUGCAAGCUAGAUGUAGUUGUGAUGUGAACUAUCCUGGGGCAUGACUUUGCACUUCUUCACAUAUCGGAAAGAUGCAAGGAACUGGAAAAAAAUGCUGUUGCUAUUCAUUUUUCUCAGUUUUUUAAUGAUGCUAUGGUGAGGGAUAUUAAUAUUUCUGCAGAGGAUCUCCUUAGCUCCUGCUUUGAUUGAACCUUAAUGAGUAAGCCAGAGUGCUUCUUCUACAAGUGGUUGGUGCACCCAUGCCUACUGCUCCAGUCUUUCUCCUCUUGCUAGGUGUACACUGUAGUUUUCUUUGCUGCCUUUGAGUGGCAAACUAAUGAAGCUGGCUGUUUCACAGCAGAAUUACCCCAAAGGCAUGAGGCAGGAAUUAAAAGCUAGUAAUGUCAACUCUUGGUACAGAGCUCUGAUGUUAACCAUUGCAAUGAUCAACAGUGCUAAGCUGCCAAAUGCUUGCCAUCACACAUAAAGAAUUCACUGAAUUUGGCUCGUGGUUCAAUGGGCCACCUAUACCUUUGUGCAAUGCGGAAAUCGUAUGUAAUUACCUAUGUCAUUUUGUUGGCAUUAGUUUCACACACACACACAAAUUAGUCCUGCUUAGAAAUUAGACAGAUAGUCUUUGAACUGUUGGUGUGGGAGGUAUUGUGCUCAUUUUCUGGUUUUGUUUCUUCAAGAUGUGAGUCCUGUUACUGGCUUUGCUUUCUGCCUUCUUCCCCUUUUCAGGGUCACAGCUUUAAAGGGACAUGGUGGAUACUAAAACUGGAGGGGCAGAAGCAGGACAGUUUUAUUAAUAUUCUAAAAAUACAGACUAUUAUUUAUGAAGUGUGUGAAGUAUUUUAAAAGACAGUCUCAACACUUAAAUUUUUAUUGCCACUUGUCUCCAGUCUCUGCCAAAAAAUUUCAACUCUAUACAAAGGUGUCUUUGUGGCCUACUGCUGUCCGAACCCAAACUUCAGAUCCUAGCCGUUAAAUCCAGUUAUACAAGACUUGUGUAAAUUUUCAUUAUAUCCAUUAUAACUGAUUUUACACAAAUGAGCACAUUCUCCAUCUUUCAGAUUAAAUAAAAAAUGAAGGCUCAGAGCAAGUCUAACUAUUAAAAGAAAAUCCUACAGCACAUUUCACAAGAAUAAGUGCAUUACUUGAUGUCACUGGCUGUAUUCCAUGUUGAGUAAUUAGAUUUUGCCUACCUGAAAUUUGCCUGUAGUUCUAACAGGAUAUGUUUAUUUUU
ensembl:lncRNA